rnacentral:rRNA from 1 species
ACGAACGCUGGCGGCAGGCCUAACCCAUGCAAGUCGAGCGGACCUUUCGGGGUCAGCGGCGGACGGGUGAGUCACGCGUGGGAAUAUGCCCUUCUCUACGGAAUAGUCCUGGGAAACUGGGGGUAAUACCGUAUACGCCCUUUGGGGGAAAGAUUUAUCGGGGAAGGAUUAGCCCGCGUUGGAUUAGGUAGUUGGUGGGGUAAUGGCCUACCAAGCCGACGAUCCAUAGCUGGUUUGAGAGGAUGAUCAGCCACACUGGGACUGAGACACGGCCCAGACUCCUACGGGAGGCAGCAGUGGGGAAUCUUAGACAAUGGGGGCAACCCUGAUCUAGCCAUGCCGCGUGAGUGAUGAAGGCCUUAGGGUUGUAAAGCUCUUUCAGCUGGGAAGAUAAUGACGGUACCAGCAGAAGAAGCCCCGGCUAACUCCGUG